CUCCGUGACACGCUCCCCUCCCCCGGAGGCUGCGCUGACCGGACAAUGGCCGCUCCGCCCCCUCCCCUCCUGACGCACCCCUUCGGAGGAGUCACAAUGGUCUCGCCCGGGGGAGCCUCCGCCAAAGCCCAGCAGCUGAUCAGCUGGGCUCCGGGCGUGCCACUUUGUUCAGCGCCUCAAAGGAACAGUACGGGGGGUGUGGGCAGAGGCGAGAACGUCGGGCUGUCGGAGACGUCCUUCUGGAGCGUUUUUCGUCUUGAAACUUUUAAACUCUGAGGCAAAUUUACCUUCGCCCCAACCAAAGGAGGGGAGAGGCUUCUGAGGUCUCUGAGGAGCUAUCCCUCCCCCCCUUAAACGCGUUGGUACGCCCCAAGCGGGAGGGGGAGGAGCAGCUUAGUUGUUUAGGGCCACCGGAACGCCUGGAAAGCUGAAUCCACAGCUACUUGAAGGGCAAACUUCUAAGUCCUGCUGCUGCCAGAAAGGUUUCCUGACUCACAAAUGGUUGCUGUUAAACCGCAUCAGGAGGGGAUACGGGAGCCUCACAGGACAUUGUCUAGAUUAAUUUUAUCACCAAAUGUUAUUUUAUUUCUAUAUGAACCAUCUGUUUGUUUAUCCUCUGUGGGUUUGUUAAAGUUGAUAUUGUUUCUUUUGGCCUCUAAACUUCAAAAGACCAAAUAACAUUCAGCUUAGCAUCCUCCUAAAGAUGCUAUUGAUGUUGAAGAUGAUAAUUGCAAAAAUCAAGCCACUUAAAGCCAAAGCAUCUCCAACUGCUCUUGUCUGCAAGUAACAGAAAUCCACUAAACUUCUUCAUGCAAAAAGUACAUAAGUAAUCUUAAGAACCCAAGAGAACAGAGAGCGACAAGAUCCCAUGAAGAACUGAAACGAGGAUGUAAAAUACCAACAGGAAGCCAAGUAACUAUUCCCUCAUUUUCUCUUUUUUUCUCUCCAGUCACAUAUUCUUUCACCUCUACAGAACUGCUUCAUUCUUCUUUGCACACUUUUCACUACUUCCUAGGCAACAUAGUACAUGACUGCCCAAGCUUACCUAUCCUCACUUCAAGAACCAGCAGAAUUGGUAGCUAUGAAUUCCAGAGAAGAGCACCUGAUUGGUCUUUUAUCAGAUGGCUUUUUUCUUGGUAUGGUUGUCUUUGGCCAGUGGAUCGGGGUACAGUCAAGGCUCUUUAUUUUGUAAUGCAAAUAUGGCUACCCCAUCCUCAUAACCUAUAGUUCUCAAAACAGGUCAGUUAUGUUCUUAGCAAAGAUUCCAAAAGCUGCUACCACAAAGUAAAAGACGAAUAAAUUACAGCCUGAAAUUCAAAGAAUAAAGAAUAGAUGUGUUCAAGAAUUUUCAACAAACUAAACUUUAGUUAAGCUUUAGUUCAGGCAUGAAUUUAAAUGCACUCCCUCAAGUCUUCAUUGGCGCCCCCCAGUCCCAAUUAAGGUUAUGUUACACUGUUUUUAAUCUUCUAAGCACCCUUUUCCUUUAGGUCACCUAUCAUAAUUUAUAAUUAAAUAUUUGUUUGUGUGUGCCCUCUCCAAAGAUCAUGGCUGUUUUUUUCUCUGCUGCAUACAUACU